GAGAAUUUAUCUGGCUCAGGACGAACGCUGGCGGCGUGCUUAACACAUGCAAGUCGAGCGGUAAGGCCCUUCGGGGUACACGAGCGGCGAACGGGUGAGUAACACGUGGGUGAUCUGCCCUGCACUUCGGGAUAAGCCUGGGAAACUGGGUCUAAUACCGGAUAUGACCAAGGACUGCAUGGUUUUUGGUGGAAAGGUUUACUGGUGCAGGAUGGGCCCGCGGCCUAUCAGCUUGUUGGUGGGGUAAUGGCCUACCAAGGCGACGACGGGUAGCCGACCUGAGAGGGUGACCGGCCACACUGGGACUGAGACACGGCCCAGACUCCUACGGGAGGCAGCAGUGGGGAAUAUUGCACAAUGGGCGAAAGCCUGAUGCAGCGACGCCGCGUGAGGGAUGACGGCCUUCGGGUUGUAAACCUCUUUCAGCAGGGACGAAGCGAGAGUGACGGUACCUGC
rnacentral:rRNA from 1 species